rnacentral:tRNA from 1 species
GCGGGGGUCGCCUAGUGGCUAUGGCGCCAGCCUGCUAAGCUGGUGGCGCUUUGCGCCUCGGGGGUUCAAAUCCCCCUCCCCGCG